CUAACUCAAAUUUGUAUGCAGUUAGAAAGUUAUCUACGUUUGCCGCUAGGGGCGCUGUUCCAAUUGCAUACAAAUUUAAGUUA
rfam:Bombyx mori DNA, contig: Bm_scaf6229_contig51438, strain: p50T/Dazao, build 2, whole genome shotgun sequence.